AUUGAACGCUGGCGGCAUGCCUUACACAUGCAAGUCGAACGGCAGCACGGGUGCUUGCACCUGGUGGCGAGUGGCGAACGGGUGAGUAAUAUAUCGGAACAUACCCUAGAGUGGGGGAUAACGUAGCGAAAGUUACGCUAAUACCGCAUACGAACUAAGGUUGAAAGUGGGGGAUCGCAAGACCUCAUGCUCAUGGAGUGGCCGAUAUCUGAUUAGCUAGUUGGUGAGGUAAAGGCUCACCAAGGCGACGAUCAGUAGCUGGUUUGAGAGAACGACCAGCCACACUGGAACUGAGACACGGUCCAGACUCCUACGGGAGUCAGCAGUGGGGAAUUUUGGACAAUGGGGGCAACCCUGAUCCAGCAAUGCCGCGUGAGUGAAGAAGGCCCUCGGGUUGUAAAGCUCUUUUGUCAGGGAAGAAACGGUCUACUCUAAUACAGUGGGCUAAUGACGGUACCUGAAGAAUAAGCACCGGCUAACUACGUGCCAGCCGCCGCGGUAA
rnacentral:rRNA from 1 species